rnacentral:rRNA from 1 species
UACGAAGGGUGCAAACGUUGCUCGGAAUUAUUGGGCGUAAAGCGCACGUAGGCGGCAUUGCAAGUCGGAUGUGAAAUCCCUCGGCUUAACCAAGGAAGUGCAUCCGAAACUGCAGUGCUUGAGUACUUAAGAGGAUCGCGGAAUUCCCGGUGUAGAGGUGAAAUUCGUAGAUAUCGGGAGGAACACCAGUGGCGAAGGCGGCGAUCCGGGAAGAUACUGACGCUGAGGUGCGAAAGCGUGGGGAGCAAACAGG